rnacentral:lncRNA from 1 species
UUCUCAGUAUUUUUUUCUUUUCUAGCUGGAACUUAUUUUUAGCCUUCAGCGCCCCGUGAAACAUCUCACAAUCACAAUAAUGCUCGGCUGCCAGAUGCCCGCACCCUCUAGGGGGACACAUCUGCUUUCUGAAAACUUCAUGAAACAAAAAUAAAAAACAAAAAAUGUCAAUUGAUUAAGAAAAAUCAUAGCAUAUUCAAAGUCAUCACAGAACAAUAUACAACCAUAACCAUUAACC